CGGCAACUGGGCCUCGCGUCUGGAUUUUNGAUCCCUGGGGCCAUAAAUAUUCUCUUGGGAGCUGCCUCUGGCCGGGCCGUGGUCCGGUUAUUCGCGGCGCCCACCUGCAAAGCAGGUCACAGAGGAUGAAGCUACCGACGGUUGACCUGGUUGCCGC
rnacentral:other from 1 species